rnacentral:rRNA from 1 species
GAGUAGUAAUAGUUAUGUUCUUGAAACUUAAAAAAUUUGGCGGUAUUUUAAUCUAUUCAGAGGAACCUGUUCUAUAAUCGAUAAUCCACGAGGACUUUACUUAAACUUGUUUUUCAAUUUGUAUACCGCCGUUAUAGAUUAUCUUAUAAGAGAAUUAAUUUUCUUAAUUUUUUAAAAGUAUAUCAGGUCAAGGUGCAGUUUAUGUUUAAGGAAGAAAUGGGUUACAAUAAAUUUAUUUAAACGGAGGUAGAAUUGAAAAAUUUUACUGAAGGUGGAUUUGAAAGUAAAAUUAUGUAUAUAGUUAAUUUGACUUUGGCUCUAAAAUAUGU